GGCUCCGUAGCUCAGCUGGUUAGAGCGCUAGCCUGUCACGCUAGAGGUCGUGGGUUCGAACCCCAUCGGAGUCGCCA
rnacentral:tRNA from 1 species